rnacentral:rRNA from 1 species
UACGUAGGGUGCGAGCGUUGUCCGGAAUUACUGGGCGUAAAGAGCUCGUAGGUGGUUUGUCGCGUUGUUCGUGAAAUCUCACGGCUUAACUGUGAGCGUGCGGGCGAUACGGGCAGACUAGAGUACUGCAGGGGAGACUGGAAUUCCUGGUGUAGCGGUGGAAUGCGCAGAUAUCAAGAGGAACACCUGCGGCGAAGGCGGGUUGCUGGGCCGACACUGACGCUGAGGCGCGAAAGCUAGGGGAGCGAACGGG